GAUGAACACUGGCGGCGUGCCUAAUACAUGCAAGUCGAGCGAAUGGAUUAAGAGCUUGCUCUUAUGAAGUUAGCGGCGGACGGGUGAGUAACACGUGGGUAACCUGCCCAUAAGACUGGGAUAACUCCGGGAAACCGGGGCUAAUACCGGAUAACAUUUUGAACCGCAUGGUUCGAAAUUGAAAGGCGGCUUCGGCUGUCACUUAUGGAUGGACCUGCGUCGCAUUAGCUAGUUGGUGAGGUAACGGCUCACCAAGGCAACGCUGCGUAGCCGACCGGGGAGGGUGAUCGGCCACACUGGGACUGAGACACGGCCCAGACUCCUACGGGAGGCAGCAGUAGGGAAUCUUCCGCAAUGGACGAAAGUCUGACGGAGCAACGCCGCGUGAGUGAUGAAGGCUUUCGGGUCGUAAAACUCUGUUGUUAGGGAAGAACAAGUGCUAGUUGAAUAAGCUGGCACCUUGACGGUACCUAACCAGAAAGCCACGGCUAACUACGUGCCAGCAGCCGCCGUAA
rnacentral:rRNA from 1 species